UUUAAAACAACGGUUCCCGUACGAUCACCGAAGUUAAGCAACGUCGAGCCUGGUCAGUCCUUAGACAAGUUACUGUUUGGGAAUACCAGGUGCUGAAAG